rnacentral:rRNA from 1 species
AACGUAGGAGACGAGCGUUAUCCGGAAUUACUUGGCGUAAAGCGCGUGUAGGCGGAAGUGUAAGUCUUUUGUGAAAGCUCCUGGCUAAACUGGGAGAGGUCGAAAGAUACUGCACAUCUGGAGUAUGGGAGAGGGGUGUGGAAUUCCGGGUGUAGUGGUGAAAUGCGUAGAUAUCCGGAGGAACACCAGUGGCGAAGGCGGCACCCUGGCCCAAGACUGACGCUAAGACGCGAAAGCAUGGGGAGCGAACGGG